CCUUCAUUUCACACACUCUCUCAUCGGUCAGAGAGGCGAGAGAGUGUGUGAAAUGAAGAGA
rnacentral:pre_miRNA from 1 species